ensembl:snRNA U2 U2 spliceosomal RNA
AUCGCUUCUCGGCCUUUUGGCUAAGAUCAAGUGUAGUAUAUCUGUUCUUAUCAGUUUAAUAAAUAUGUUGAAUAACUUUGGGACUUGAGUAACUGUGCCCCCACUCAUA